rnacentral:rRNA from 1 species
GAUGAACGCUGGCGGCGUGCUUAACACAUGCAAGUCGAACGGAAAGGCCACAGCUUGCUGUGGUACUCGAGUGGCGAACGGGUGAGUAACACGUGGGUGAUCUGCCCUGUACUUCGGGAUAAGCUUGGGAAACUGGGUCUAAUACCGGAUAGGAAUCACAUGUGGGUGUGUGGUUGGAAAGCUUUUGCGGUAUGGGAUGAGCUCGCGGCCUAUCAGCUUGUUGGUGGGGUAAUGGCCUACCAAGGCGUGGACGGGUAGCCGGCCUGAGAGGGUGUACGGCCACAUUGGGACUGAGAUACGGCCCAGACUCCUACGGGAGGCAGCAGUGGGGAAUAUUGCACAAUGGGCGCAAGCCUGAUGCAGCGACGCCGCGUGGGGGAUGACGGCCUUCGGGUUGUAAACUCCUUUCGUCAGGGACGAAGCGAAAGUGACGGUACCUGGAUAAGAAGCACCGGCUAACUACGUG